rnacentral:sRNA from 1 species
UGAAUGCUGAUGCUGUUAUAGCCACAGAGUUGCAUACUUCUGGUUCUUAUUUCACUGGUUUUCUCUCUAAGUCUGGUUUUCUUGUGAAACACAGUGCCCUUAAGGAUUAUUUUGGCGAUACAAAACCUGACCUUGGCAUUGGUAACACAAGCCUUCAUGAUCAACUUUUUAUUUCUCUUUGCAAGGAGGCUUAUGUGGUGAUGAAUGAGGGAAAAGUGAUGCCAAGGAACAAGUAUCCAAAGCCCUUAGUAUUUCAUGAUGGAAGACUUGCAUUCUUGCCUACUCCUUCAGCAACUCUGUGUAUGUUCAUGUGGCUUCCAAUUGGACUUGUGAUGGCCAUUUACAGAAUAUUUCUGGGUGUGUUCCUUUGUUGCAAAUUCACAAUGGCAUUAGGAGUGUGGUGUGGGUUGAAACUGGAUUUCAAAGACAAUAACCAGAAAAAAUCAGAGUCAGAUAAAGGGGUGCUUUAUGUUUGCACUCACAGGACUCUCUUGGAUCCAAUUUUUCUGAGCUCAGGUUUGGGGAGGCCUUUGACAGCAGUGACAUAUAGCUUAAGCAAGGUGUCUGAGUGUAUAGCCCCUAUUAGGACCAUAAGACUGACAAGGGACAGAAAAGAAGAUGGAGAAACUAUGAAAAGGUUGCUUGGUGAAGGGGAUUUGGUGGUGUUUCCUGAAGGAACAACUUGUAGGGAGCCCUAUCUUUUAAGGUUCAGUUCCUUGUUUGCAGAACUGGCUGAUGAGAUUGUGCCUGUGGCUGUGAAUGUUCAUCUGAGCAUGUUCUAUGGGACCACAGCAAGUGGCCUGAAGGUGUUGGAUCCAUUUUUCUUUUUCAUGAACCCUAGCCCUAAAUAUGACAUUGAGAUCCUUGAAAAGGUUCCUAAAGAACUCACUUGUGCUGGGGGAAGGUCAAGUCAUGAAGUGGCAAAUCACAUACAGAAACAGUUGGGCUAUGCUUUGGGAUUUGAGUGCACCAACCUUACAAGGAGGGAUAAAUAUAUAAUGCUGGCUGGAAACGAAGGGGUUGUUCAAGAAAACAAGGGGA